AACCAUAUCAUCUGGGAACAAAAUAAUUUUAUUUCUUUAUUUCCAAUUGGAUGCCUUUUAUUUCAUUUUCUUGCCUAAUUGCUCUGGCUAGAAUGUCCAGUAGUAUGCUGAAUAGAAGUGGUGACAGUGGGUCAUCUUUUUC